GAUUGCAGGCUGCAACUCGCCUGCAUGAAGUCGGAAUUGCUAGUAAUCGUAGGUCAGCAUACUACGGUGAAUACGUUCCCGGGCCUUGUACACACCGCCCGUCAAACCAUGAGAGUUGGCAACACCCGAAGUCGGUAGUCUAACCGCAAGGAGGACGCCGCCGAAGGUGGGGUUGAUGAUUAGGGUUAAGUCGUAACAAGGUAUC
rnacentral:rRNA from 1 species